rnacentral:lncRNA from 1 species
UGACUUAAGCCAAUAAAGAUUGUAAAAAUAUAUUUUUUUUUAAAUACUAUAAAACCAGAUUUUAUAGUAUAAAAGUAAUAAGAGAUGCGUGAUAACCGCAUCAAGUAUAACUGGAAUUGAAUAUAAAAUUAAAAAUAUUUUUUUUGCAUGUAAUUGUUUAUUGUAGGAGCGUGAGGAGAAGGUGGUAACGAGACAUGGCACACCUGAAUUUAGGCUCUUUUUAAUAUCGGAUGCUUGUUUUAUGGUUUUGGGAGGAGAAAAUGAAUUACUGCUAUAAAGAGGGCAACCUUCUACCAUUAAGAUUUUUUUGGCAUGUUUACAAACUUCAAGUUCUCAUCUUUCAUUAUCCAAAAGCUCAUAAUCGAAAUUGUUUAGAUUCAGGACUGUGUGCAAAUUGUACGUCUACAGCAACACUUUAUUUAAUUCAGAGAAGAGUGGAUAUUUAUUCAAAAGGCAAUAGAGAAAUUUGACUUCUUUUGUGAUGGUACUGAUUCAUAAAACUCGUUUUCCUCUUAAGUGUAUUUCCAUAGCUGACCUUUCAUCUUUAAGUCACUAUUUCUUAGCAUCCACUAGUCUGAUUCACUUCCUUUUUGAUCUGGUUAUAGUACAAACAUUGAUCUAGGUGCUUAAUCUCCAUAAAUUGAUAUUGAAGACUAUGUAUUUAUACUAUGUUCUACUAAUGGUGUCGGUUGCUAAGCUAAAUUUGUAAUUUUUGUACUUCUGAUCGACAAAAUCCUCGUAAGAUGUCCAUUUUUAUGAACCACUCAAUAUUGGUAGUUUAGCAUCUUUAGUUUGACCUCAAGUCUGAGCCUGUGUAGUAGUGAGAAGUUAUGUUUCCUCAGUAGUUAGUACUUUGAUUUCAAGAAUGUACCUUCCAAACGUUACUUGCCCAAAUGGCGGCCAUUUUUAAUAUUCAAUUAGUAAUAAUCCUGAAAAUUAUUAAAUAUAAAAUUAGUCGAUUAUGACUCUAUACAAACUUUUCUCAACUUAUACAGAAUUUCAUUCAUGAUAUUUAAUGUCUGAGAGUGAGGUGGUUUUUCAAAACUGGCUGUUUUCUCUCUUACAAGUGUCCGGUUUGCCUUCCAUUAGUACAGGGAAAACAUCAUAAUUAUAUUUAAAUUCAUUAUUUUAUUAUUCGUUUUUAAAACAAGUUGGACCAAAGACAGGAGAUCAUUAUUCUAAGAGCAACUAUAAUAAAUUAAAUAUU